GGCUUUGUAGUCGAGUGGUAAGAACACUUGUCUCUUACGCUGGAGUCCCGGGUUCGACACCCGGUCAAGGAGCUA